AACAAAGAAGCAGAUAAAUGCUUUCGAUGUGGAGAACAGGGACAUCGAGCGCCACAAUGUUUAGCUGCCCUACCUAAGGCGCACGCCUCCAGUGGAGAAUACGCAACCUCAGACAAAGAAGCUGGGCCUAUCGCGCACUGCUCCAAUGACGAUUACGCGCAUUUGAACCGAGAACAACUUGUCGCCAUGUUAAACAGUUUGAAAGCAUAGGAAUUACCGGCCUCCUUUUCAGUCAGUAGUAUAGAAACUCAGGCUCAUUGCAGACCGUAUCUUAGUGCGUGGGUAGGAGGCCGGCCAUGCGAUAUGCUAAUUGAUACUGGCGCUUCUGUUUCUAUCACUGACCUACCGCUCCCUUGUACAAAGCAUUCCAUUGAUCUUGCUGGCAUUGGGGGUAAUUCUGUCCGCGCAUAUAAAUCCUUUCCAGUACUUGUGGAAUCCAAUAAUGCUUAUUGGACACAAUCAUUUUUCAUUUGUAGGACUGCAGAAGGUACCAUCCUCGGUUCUGACGGCAUGAGAUUACUGAAAGCUACUGUUGCAUACUCGCCUAUGGCUUUAUCAGUUUGUGACGCUUCUCAUAAACGCAAGACAUUGCCAUUAGCUGCUCUUUCCCAUACUGCUAUAGCAUCUGUUGCAACACCUAUUGUCCAUUCCUGGGAUUUGACUAACAAGUUCCAAGCUUUAUGUGCAACAUUCCCUGCAUGCUGGUCUGUGCACAAACUGGAUUGUGGAGCUGCACCAUUACCACCACUUGAGGUAACAGGGACUAUGCCCUCACCUGUGAAACAAUACCCGAUUAAACCAGAAGCUGCUCAAGCAGUUGGCUCAAUCAUUCAGUCCUUGCUUUCACAGGAGGUCAUUGAGCCAUGUGUCUCACCCUGUAAUUCUCCUGUCUGGCCUGUGCAAAAACCAGAUGGCUCAUGGCGCCUGACAAUUGAUUACAGAACGGUUAAUGCUGCUGCAGACAAACUUGCUCCAAUUGUUUCUGACCCAAACACGCUGCUUGCUGAUAUCAAACCUAGUCACUGUAUAUUUUCUGUGAUAGACAUUGCCAAUGGAUUCUGGGCCCUGCCUGUUGCUGAAAACUCAAGAGCUUGGUUUGCCUUCACACACCAGAACACGCAAUACACAUGGAAACGCAUGCCUCAGGGCUUUCAUAACAGCCCUACGCUUUUCCAUCGCGCAAUGGCCAAGAUUCUAGCAACAGUUUCAUGGUCUCAGUAUGAAGGAACACAGUGCCUCCAAUAUGUUGAUGAUAUUCUCUUGGCUUCUUCUGACCCUGUCUCUCAUUUCCAGGCUCUGGAAGCUUUACUCAAAGCUUUGGAAAAAUACAAUAUGAAAGCAAGUCCAAAGAAGGCCCAAAUCGCACAAGACGCUGUCCAGUAUUUGGGCUUUACCAUAUCCCAGGGCUCGAAGCAACUCACUGUUGACCGGAGAACUGCUAUUGCCACUGCUCCGCGUCCCCGCACUGUCCGUGAUGUUCGUAAGAUUCUGGGACUUUUUAACUUCUGCAGGAACCACAUACCUGACUUUUCUGUUAUUGCAACACCAAUCAAUGCUCUUUUGAAGGGCUCCCAUCGCCCAUUGGAGACCGUUGAUUGGACAACCGAGUGUGAAGAUGCAUUCAGCACUCUCAAAUCUGCUCUCACGUCUGCCCCUACUUUAGGUUUCCCUUGUUCUGACCUCCCGUUCUUUCUAUGGUCAGCUGUGAAACAAGGCCACAUGACAGCCGUUCUUACUCAGCCCCAUGGAGGCAUACAACGCCCCGUUGCUUACUAUUCUUCUCGCCUGGAUUCUGUCGCUUCUGGUCUUUCCCCUUGCUUACAGGAAGUGCAGGCUGCCGCCACAGCAGUAACGGUCUCCGCUGCACUAGUCUCAGGAGCUCCACUCUCUGUCAAUGUCUCUCAUGCUGUGCAUAACAUACUAACCCAAGGCCGUUUCUCUCGUGUUUCAGCAGCCAGGUGGACUAGAUGGGAAGCCAUCUUGUUAGCUCCGCUUAUCACACUCAUCCACUCCCCAGCUGUGAACCCAGCCACUCUCUUACCUGUCGAGGGAGACGGGGAGCCACAUGAGUGCCCAUUGUCUCCAGAACACCCAUCCAAUUCAGACAUCUCUGAAACACCUCUUUCUGACAAUGAUUUCUCACUUUUUGUUGAUGGAUCUCGUUUUUACAAUGGGGCCCACCCAGUUACAGGAUAUGCAGUUGUUGACAUUGCUGGUCAGGUAAUGGCAUCAGGCCGCCUUCCAAGUUCAGAUUCAGCACAGGUGGCUGAACUUGUUGCCCUCACUCAUGCCUGUGAGUUGGGUUCUGGGAAACGACUUACUAUAUACACUGAUUCCAGGUAUGCAUUUGGUGUUGUCCAUGACUUUAUGGUUAACUGGUCAUCUCGGGGUUUCCUGACUUCAUCAGGUACCCCGAUAAAAAAUGGGGGGGUUGUUCAGAAUCUCAUAACUGCCUCUAAACUACCAAACAAACUAGCAGUUGUAAAAGUGAAAGCGCACACUAAAGGACAAGAUGCAAUCAGCUUGGGUAACCACUGGGCAGAUGAAGCUGCCAAAGCAGCAGCUUUAAAUGACUCCCUGCCUACUUACAAAAUUGCAGCUAUUGACAUGUCGGGUCCAACUAACAUUGACAUAGCUAAACUACAGGAUGCCUGUACAAGAGCUGAAAAAUGGACGUGGAUUGAAAAUGCAUGCACAACAUUUGGCACACACAGGACGGGAAAGUUGUUGCCCCUCAGAGCAUCCUUUCAUUGCUUUGUGAAGUAUACCAUGGCAUUGCACACAAUGGAGAAAGAACAAUGCGGCACAACAUGUCACUUCAUUGGUGGUCUCCCAAAAUGACCAAGACUCUGAAAGAUAAACAAAAGGAGGGGGGGCAAGAAUCGCAGACAUAUGAACCUGGACAAUGGGUUAUGAUAAGAGCCCCUCAUCCUAGAUCUUUCCAACCUCGAUGGCAAGGACCACACCAGGUCUUACUAACCUCUGAGACUGCUCUUCGAGUUACAGGCAUCCCGGUCUGGAUCCACCAAUCCCGGACCAAACCAUGCCCAUCACCCGAAGACCUCAAAAAGCCUGAAGAACUCCCUGCCACGGACGACUGCAGCCUUCACGAAUCAGGUGCAAACGUUCCAAUUUUUUCACAUACUCAACCAAAUUGAGCAUUCAAGUUAUGCUCCCAUCCAACAUGCUGAAUUCAUUUGUAAUUAUAAUCACAGUUUUGAGCCAUGGUGGAGUAAGUGCUGUGGACAAUAACAUUUACAUGCAAUUAGUUCACAUGACAGCCAAACAUGCAAAUAAGACUGGCUGCUAUGUCUGUGGAUUAAUACCACAUUCUGUCGCACUUGGUGUUCCAAUGAUGUCCGUACCUAUCGCCUCCAAGUAUAACACUGCAGAUAGCGAUAGCAAAAGUGAACUUGUUACCAGACCUAAACAUAUAUGUGAUCCUGAACCCAUUAACAUUGCUCUGUCUCUUGGCCCAUAUCUGUGGUGCCUCAAACAAAAUGGCUCUAUUUAUGUUGGAGACCCUGGACUGCAAUACGGUUAUUAACUACCAUGAUAAACCUGUACAAAACCACACAGCUAUGGGAGUCUAUUGGGUUUGUGGGAACAAUGCCUAUUCUGAGUUGCCUAAUUCAUGGUCUGGUAUCUGCGCCUUAGGACAUUUGGUCCCGGCCAUGAGAAUUACAUCUAUUCUACCGGACCGAGUCAGAUAUGAAAGAUCAACUGACGUCUUUGGAACUCACCAUCAGUCUGUUUGGAACAGAGCACUUGGUGCUCUCAUUCCUACUUAUGGGGUUAUGUCCGCUCUAGAUCAAAUUGGCGACCUCUCCAAAGAGGUAGAGCUUUUGGCCAAUAGCACGGCAUUAGGUCUAGGCAAAAUUUCAGAGGAAUUGACAGCUGUCAGAGUGAUGGCUCUACAGAACAGAGCUGCAUUAGAUUAUAUCCUCUCAGCUCAGGGUGGGACAUGUAAAAUAAUUGGCAUCGAAUGCUGUUCCUAUAUUCCCGAUAAUCAGGAUGACCUGAAACGUGUGAUCUCAAAAAUCAAUAAUGUUUCCCGGUCCGCACAUGAAAUAUCACCUACAACACCUGGUUUUCUUGAAUGGUUAUCGAGCUAUUUGGGUGACCUUGGCAAAAUUGUAGUUGAAUACAUUUUUCUGAUUAUACUGGGAUUAACUGUACUGGCAUUGAUAAUUAAAGGUGUGAAAUUAAUUUUCGUACAGUUAAUCUGUGGUAAAACUAAUGAGCAAACCACACAAGUUGUUCACUAUACAAAGACUCCGACAGCAUACAUAAUAUAGAACCAAGUUGUAAUAACUUGGGAGUACUUGAUAAUGCCCUCACAUGGUAUUCUGUUUUCUUCCUCAUAUGCCGGAGAGGACACUCCCAUGACACCAUACCGGCGCCGAGGACACCACCCUCCAAGACCAUGUUGCUGCAAACCAGGAGUAAAUUGCAAGAAAUCCCACCAAGCCUUGAAUCGAGCCUUCCCUACCAAACCAAUGUCACUAUCCAUCCAGCCAGCAACAGAAGGACUUUUUCUUUACAAGUUAUGUUCUUGGAGUACAUCUCGUUCGCCCGUAAGGGGGACGUGAGGGAAUUUUGCCUGAAGUUUUCCUAACACAGGUUUUUGACAGGUUUUCGCCCUCACCCUGAACAAUGACUAAAUAAAUGUAACUGUAAAAUUGACUUAACCAUGAGAUUCAUGUUGUGUCAAAAGGAGGGACUGUUAGGAUACAGAAAGUUUGUGCUGUAGGAGACAGACAGAUUUGUGUAUUCCAAAACCUCACGUGCAUGUGAGAGUCCGCCAUUGUUUUACAAAGACAACCAAUAAGACACAGUGGUAGAAAUUGCAGCCUAUAGGGCAACUCUGUAUAACAAACAACCAAUCAGAGUUCAUGCUGUAUUCUGCGCACAAAUUUGAAUAUAUGUAAAUGUAACUGUAUAAACUCCACAAACUCUAACAGUUGAAUUGAACAUUUUUGUGUGAAUCCCUGUUGCUGGCUUUCUGUAUAAUAAAUGCUUCCUGAUUUUUAAACACUAA